CCGGCGAGGGGAGUGAAAAAGAACCUGAAACCGUGUACGUACAAGCAGUGGGAGCACCCUUUGGGGUGUGACUGCGUACCUUUUGUAUAAUGGGUCAGCGACUUAUAUUCUGUAGCAAGGUUAACCGAAUAGGGGAGCCGGAGGGAAACCGAGUCUUAAUUGGGCGUUAAGUUGCAGGGUAUAGACCCGAAACCCGGUGAUCUAGCCAUGGGCAGGUUGAAGGUUGGGUAACACUAACUGGAGGACCGAACCGAC
rnacentral:rRNA from 4 species